rnacentral:rRNA from 1 species
AUUGAACGCUGGCGGCAGGCUUAACACAUGCAAGUCGAACGGUAACAGGCCGCAAGGUGCUGACGAGUGGCGAACGGGUGAGUAAUGCAUCGGAACGUGCCCAGUCGUGGGGGAUAACUGCUCGAAAGAGCAGCUAAUACCGCAUACGAUCUAUGGAUGAAAGCGGGGGACCGUAAGGCCCCGCGCGAUUGGAGCGGCCGAUGUCAGAUUAGGUAGUUGGUGGGGUAAAGGCUCACCAGGCCAACGAUCUGUAGCUGGUCUGAGAGGACGACCAGCCACACUGGGACUGAGACACGGCCCAGACUCCUACGGGAGGCAGCAGUGGGGAAUUUUGGACAAUGGGGGCAACCCUGAUCCAGCAAUGCCGCGUGCAGGAAGAAGGCCUUCGGGUUGUAAACUGCUUUUGUACGGAACGAAACGGUCUGGGUUAAUACCCUGGGCUAAUGACGGUACCGUAAGAAUAAGCACCGGCUAACUACGUGCCAGCCGCCGCCGUAAAAC